GGGAAUGCGGCUCAGUGGUAGAGUGCUUGCCUUGCAUGCAUGAGGCUCUGGGUUCAAUUCCUCAGCACCA
rnacentral:tRNA from 1 species